UACGUAGGGUGCGAGCGUUAAUCGGAAUUACUGGGCGUAAAGCGUGCGCAGGCGGUUUUGUAAGACAGUUGUGAAAUCCCCGGGCUCAACCUGGGAAUUGCAUCUGUGACUGCAUCGCUAGAGUACGGUAGAGGGGGAUGGAAUUCCGCGUGUAGCAGUGAAAUGCGUAGAUAUGCGGAGGAACACCGAUGGCGAAGGCAAUCCCCUGGACCUGUACUGACGCUCAUGCACGAAAGCGUGGGGAGCAAACAGG
rnacentral:rRNA from 1 species